AACGAACGCUGGCGGCAGGCCUAACACAUGCAAGUCGAGCGCGCCUUCGGGUGAGCGGCGGACGGGUUAGUAACGCGUGGGAACGUGCCCUUCUCUACGGAAUAGCCUCUGGAAACGGAGAGUAAUACCGUAUACGCCCUUUGGGGGAAAGAUUUAUCGGAGAAGGAUCGGCCCGCGUUAGAUUAGGUAGUUGGUGGGGUAAUGGCCUACCAAGUCGACGAUCUAUAGCUGGUCUGAGAGGAUGAUCAGCCACACUGGGACUGAGACACGGCCCAGACUCCUACGGGAGGCAGCAGUGGGGAAUUUUCCGCAAUGGGCGAUAGCCUGACGGAGCAACGCCGCGUGAGGGAUGAAGGUCUUAGGAUCGUAAAGCACUUUCGCCAGGGAUGAUAAUGACAGUACCUGGUAAAGAAACCCCGGCUAACUCCG
rnacentral:rRNA from 1 species